rnacentral:rRNA from 1 species
UAAUGAAUCUUCCGCAAUGCGCGAAAGCGUGACGGAGCGACGCCGAGUGAAGGAUGAAGUCCCUCGGGAUGUAAACUUCUAAAACCCGCUAGAAAGUUCUGAUCGGCGGGCUACAAGUGGCGACUAACUCUGUGCCAGCAGUCGCGGUAAUACAGAGGCCACGAGCGUUAGGCGGAAUCACUGGGCUUAAAGCGUGUGUAGGUGGAUGGCUAAGUACCUUGUGAAAUCCCACGGCUCAACCGUGGAACUGCUCGGUAUACUGGUCGUCUUGAGGCACUCAGGGGCGAGCGGAACAGAUGGUGGAGCGGUGAAAUGCGUAGAUAUCAUCUGGAACGCCAAUGGUGAAGACAGCUCGCUGGGGGUGUACUGACACUGAGACACGAAAGCCAGGGGAGCGAAC